rnacentral:lncRNA from 1 species
CGGGGGGACCAGGCGCGUGAACCGGUAAACCGCCCCCUCCCCGCCCGCCCUGCGUCCCGACGCCGCCGCUCCGACGCCCGUCGAGACGAGUACCAGUCGAAGACACAGCUUUCUUCCGAACGCAAGUCGCUCUCUCACCUGCUUUUUCGUCUCCGAAGACGACGUCGACUCUAAAACUACGUUCACGCCAAUUUCUCCUCACGCGCACAGAUCGCGCUUUCCUUCUCUCUCGAGUCAGUCCGCGAAACUUUUUUCUUAUCACUGAUAACGCGACGGCUUAUCAGAGUCGUCCUGUGCUCGGGUUGUUUCCCGCGGGAAUUGUGAAGUGUCCCCCGAAAAGUUUUCUUCUCCCGGUGUUUUUUUUUAAAUUUUAUUCCUACUGGUGGUAAAAGUUCACGCGCCUGAGUUUCGCGCAAAUAUGGGAAGUGUUUUGACAAAGUUCUGAUCGAUUGUGCGCGUGUGUGUAGGUGUGGUGCUUUAUCCUCGUCCUGCGUCGCUCAUGAAUAAAAAAGGUGAGGCCUUUUUUGAUGACGUCACUAAAGCUGUUUCCUGGCUCUCGCAACCUCUCUUAUCAACACAGAAACAGGCGCAUUUUUGUUGCAUCCUUUUUGGAUCGAGGAUCAAGCUGGCUCGGCAGUGGCAAACUAUGCUGCGCUCGAUUUUUCAGACGCAACUCAUAUAACGAGCUUGGGCACUCCCGCUCCGUCUUCCCUCCUCACCAACCAUCAACGACUCAAGGUAAACUCUAUCUUUUAUCUAAUGGAAUCUAUAGACAAAGCUAUGUACAAUAGAUAUUAUAGGGAACGUGGAGCGAUCCUAUCGUUUGUAAUACUUCAUUUUUAUUUGAUUUUAUUUAUUUAUAUUUUUUUUAAACACAUUGUAAUUUCUUGAAAACUUCCUUGAUUUUUCCUCUGGAUGAGCAGAAUAUUCUUCGAAAAUUUCAAGCUGCAAAGUUUGCUUGUUUCUCUCGAAAAAGUAAAAUAUUUAAAGGUAUUUGAAGUUUUUGAAACCGCAACGGAGAUACGUGGAUUCGCAGUUUGGCCAUCGAUAAUCUCACUAACAUACGAAUAAAGGCCUUAGAAUUACAUCU